UGGGGAAUUUUGGACAAUGGGCGAAAGCCUGAUCCAGCAAUGCCGCGUGUGUGAAGAAGGCCUUCGGGUUGUAAAGCACUUUUGUCCGGAAAGAAAUCCUUGGCUCUAAUACAGUCGGGGGAUGACGGUACCGGAAGAAUAAGCACCGGCUAACUACGUGCCAGCAGCCGCGGUAAUACGUAGGGUGCAAGCGUUAAUCGGAAUUACUGGGCGUAAAGCGUGCGCAGGCGGUUUGCUAAGACCGAUGUGAAAUCCCCGGGCUCAACCUGGGAACUGCAUUGGUGACUGGCAGGCUAGAGUAUGGCAGAGGGGGGUAGAAUUCCACGUGUAGCAGUGAAAUGCGUAGAGAUGUGGAGGAAUACCGAUGGCGAAGGCAGCCCCCUGGGCCAAUACUGACGCUCAUGCACGAAAGCGUGGGGAGCAAACAGGAUUNGAUACCCUGGUAGUCCACGCCCUAAAACGAUGUCAACUAGUUGUUGGGGAUUCAUUUCCUUAGUAACGUAGCUAACGCGUGAAGUUGACCGCCUGGGGGAGUAGGUCGCAAGAUUAAAACUUAAAGGAAUUG
rnacentral:rRNA from 1 species